UUUCAACCCAAAUUAUUCUGUUUCUUUGAGCUUUUAAAUGCAUUGAUAACAAUUUACAGUAGAUGUUGCUUGUCCUUUUGGGAGUAAAUGUAGUUACCUGCCUGCUUUUUCAACCACAUGCUGAUAAUAAAAUACCUUCUGACAACAUAACAUGAUUUUCUUUCAAUCUCAAAAAAAAAGGAUGCUUAUCUCUCUUUAAACAACCUCAUUUCCAAACUAGUUUUAUUUUGUAUUUCAAAAAAGUUUUACAAAGUCAAGUUUCAGAAUCUUUACAGUCAUUCAUGCAACUGCAAGCAUGUAUUCAUGAUUGCUAACUGGUAUUUUCAAGGGAGCCUCUGCUAAGGAAUAAGGUUGCCAAUGCUGCAGGAGCGAGCUGCCAAUACCUGCUCUUGACUCAGCACACCUGGUUGGAAAGCUUUGAAGAUCUCAAAUUGCAUUUCUCUCUUCAUCUGCGGGCGAUUAUCUCAACACUGGGGAACGUGACCCAGAGAGACAGAUGGUGCUCCCUGUGCCUUCUGCAAUCUCACCACCACUAAGAAUGACUGUUCAGAAAGGACUGAACCUCGCAGCAGCCCUGUAAAAGACAACCUUAAAGGACAGACUUCAACACAGCCAAAAUUUACUCGAAAACGAGGAAUAUGUAGUUUUCAGGUACGCUUAGCAAGUUGUGCCAAGGUAAACAGCUAUAAGUUAGUUACUGGAAUUCCUACUGAGAACCAAAAAAGCCACAGAAAAUGAACUUCCAGAGAGGGAUUCCUCAAAGAGUACAUUGGAACAGGACUGGGCUAUAUUGGCAGGAUAGAUUUUUCCUCAUCCAUCCAGUUU